rnacentral:rRNA from 1 species
UAGGGUUUGAUCAUGGCUCANAACGAACGCUGGCGGCGUGGCUAAGGCAUGCAAGUCGCAGGGUGAAAAUGAAGCUUCGGCUGAAACACGACUGGCGGAAGGGAGAGUAAUGCAUGGGUAACGUACCCUGGGCAUCGGGAUAGCUGUGGGAAACCACAGGUAAUACCGGAUGAUAUCGAGCGGUCGUAUGGUCGCACGAUCAAAGGGUGGGGACCUUCGGGCCUAUCGGCCUGGGAGCGGCCCAUGUCCUAUCAGCUUGUUGGUGGGGUAACGGCCUACCAAGGCGACGACGGGUAGCGGGCGUGAGAGCGUGGCCCGCCUCAUCGGAACUGAGACACUGUCCGGACACCUACGGGUGGCUGCAGCAACGAAUAUUCCGCAAUGGGCGAAAGCCUGACGGAGCGACGCCGCGUGCAGGAUGAAGUCCCUCGGGAUGUAAACUGCUGUCAGGGGUACGAAAGCAAAGCGCGCUAAUAUCGCGCCGCGUUGAUCUAUCCCAAAGGAAGCCACGGCUAACUCCGUGCCAGCAGCCGCGGUAAUACGGAGGUGGCAAGCGUUGUUCGGAAUCACUGGGCUUAAAGAGCACGUAGGCGGCCGGUCAAGUGUUUUGUGAAAUCCCUCGGCUCAACCGAGGAAUUGCAGGGCAAACUGAUCGGCUUGAGGCAUACAGGGGCGACUGGAACUCUAGGUGGAGCGGUGAAAUGCGUAGAUAUCUAGAGGAACGCCGGUGGCGAAAGCGGGUCGCUGGGUAUGUCCUGACGCUGAGGUGCGAAAGCGUAGGGAGCGAACGGGAUUAGAUACCCCGGUAGUCUACGCUGUAAACGAUGUCCACUAGGUCGAGGGGGUUCUGACGCUUUCUCGGCCGAAGCAAAAGUACUAAGUGGACCGCCUGGGGAGUACGGUCGCAAGGCUAAAACUCAAAGGAAUUGACGGGGGCUCACACAAGCGGUGGAGCAUGUUGCUCAAUUCGAGGCAACGCGAAGAACCUUAUCCUGGGUUUGACAUGCACGGAUGGCCUCCCUGAAAGGGGUUGUGUCUGCCCUUUGGGUGAAACGUGCACAGGUGCUGCAUGGCUGUCGUCAGCUCGUGCUGUGAAGUGUUGGGUUAAGUCCCGUAACGAGCGAAACCCUUGUCCUUAGUUGCCAGCGGGUCAUGCCGGGGACUCUAAGGAGACUGCCGGUGUUAAACCGGAGGAAGGUGGGGAUGACGUCAAGUCCUCAUGGCCUUUAUGCCCAGGGCUGCAAACGUGCUACAAUGGCGGGUACAAUGCGACGCGAUACCGCGAGGUGGAGCAAAUCGCCCAAAGCUCGCCCCAGUUCGGAUUGCAGUCUGAAACUCGACUGCAUGAAGUCGGAAUCGCUAGUAAUCGGAGAUCAGCUACGCUCCGGUGAAUAUGUUCCUGAGCCUUGUACACACCGCCCGU